UUUGGUUAAGUUAGAAAGGGCGCACGGUGGAUGCCUUGACACUAGGAGUCGAUGAAGGACGGGACUAACGCCGAUAUGCUUCGGGGAGCUGUAAGUAAGCUUUGAUCCGAAGAUUUCCGAAUGGGGAAACCCACCAUACGUAAUGGUAUGGUAUCCUUAUCUGAAUACAUAGGGUAAGGAAGACAGACCCAGGGAACUGAAACAUCUAAGUACCUGGAGGAAGAGAAAGCAAAUGCGAUUUCCUGAGUAGCGGCGAGCGAAACGGAACAUAGCCCAAACCAAGAGGCUUGCCUCUUGGGGUUGUAGGACAUUCUAUACGGAGUUACAAAGGAACGAGGUAGACGAAGCGACCUGGAAAGGUCCGUCGUAGAGGGUAACAACCCCGUAGUCGAAACUUCGUUCUCUCUUGAAUGUAUCCUGAGUACGGCGGAACACGUGAAAUUCCGUCGGAAUCUGGGAGGACCAUCUCCCAAGGCUAAAUACUCCCUAGUGAUCGAUAGUGAACCAGUACCGUGAGGGAAAGGUGAAAAGCACCCCGGAAGGGGAGUGAAAGAGAUCCUGAAACCGUGUGCCUACAAAUAGUCAGAGCCCGUUAACGGGUGAUGGCGUGCCUUUUGUAGAAUGAACCGGCGAGUUACGAUCCCGUGCGAGGUUAAGCUGAAGAGGCGGAGCCGCAGCGAAAGCGAGUCUGAAUAGGGCGUUUAGUACGUGGUCGUAGACCCGAAACCAGGUGAUCUACCCAUGUCCAGGGUGAAGUUCAGGUAACACUGAAUGGAGGCCCGAACCCACGCACGUUGAAAAGUGCGGGGAUGAGGUGUGGGUAGCGGAGAAAUUCCAAUCGAACCUGGAGAUAGCUGGUUCUCCCCGAAAUAGCUUUAGGGCUAGCCUUAAGUGUAAGAGUCUUGGAGGUAGAGCACUGAUUGGACUAGGGGUCCUCAUCGGAUUACCGAAUUCAGUCAAACUCCGAAUGCCAAUGACUUAUCCUUAGGAGUCAGACUGCGAGUGAUAAGAUCCGUAGUCAAAAGGGAAACAGCCCAGACCGCCAGCUAAGGUCCCAAAGUGUGUAUUAAGUGGAAAAGGAUGUGGAGUUGCUUAGACAACUAGGAUGUUGGCUUAGAAGCAGCCACCAUUUAAAGAGUGCGUAAUAGCUCACUAGUCGAGUGACUCUGCGCCGAAAAUGUACCGGGGCUAAAUACACCACCGAAGCUGCGGAUUGAUACCAAUGGUAUCAGUGGUAGGGGAGCGUUCUAAGGACAGUGAAGUCAGACCGGAAGGACUGGUGGAGUGCUUAGAAGUGAGAAUGCCGGUAUGAGUAGCGAAAGACGGGUGAGAAUCCCGUCCACCGAAUGCCUAAGGUUUCCUGAGGAAGGCUCGUCCGCUCAGGGUUAGUCAGGACCUAAGCCGAGGCCGACAGGCGUAGGCGAUGGACAACAGGUUGAUAUUCCUGUACCACCUCUUUAUCGUUUGAGCAAUGGAGGGACGCAGAAGGAUAGAAGAAGCGUGCGAUUGGUUGUGCACGUCCAAGCAGUUAGGCUGAUAAGUAGGCAAAUCCGCUUAUCGUAAAGGCUGAGCUGUGAUGGGGAAGCUCCUUAUGGAGCGAAGUCUUUGAUUCCCCGCUGCCAAGAAAAGCUUCUAGCGAGAUAAAAGGUGCCUGUACCGCAAACCGACACAGGUAGGCGAGGAGAGAAUCCUAAGGUGUGCGAGAGAACUCUGGUUAAGGAACUCGGCAAAAUGACCCCGUAACUUCGGGAGAAGGGGUGCUUUCUUAACGGAAAGCCGCAGUGAAUAGGCCCAAGCGACUGUUUAGCAAAAACACAGCUCUCUGCGAAGCCGUAAGGCGAAGUAUAGGGGGUGACACCUGCCCGGUGCUGGAAGGUUAAGGAGAGGGGUUAGCGUAAGCGAAGCUCUGAACUGAAGCCCCAGUAAACGGCGGCCGUAACUAUAACGGUCCUAAGGUAGCGAAAUUCCUUGUCGGGUAAGUUCCGACCCGCACGAAAGGUGUAACGAUUUGGGCACUGUCUCAACCAGAGACUCGGUGAAAUUAUAGUACCUGUGAAGAUGCAGGUUACCCGCGACAGGACGGAAAGACCCCGUGGAGCUUUACUGUAGCCUGAUAUUGAAUUUUGGUACAGUUUGUACAGGAUAGGCGGGAGCCAUUGAAACCGGAGCGCUAGCUUCGGUGGAGGCGCUGGUGGGAUACCGCCCUGACUGUAUUGAAAUUCUAACCUACGGGUCUUAUCGACCCGGGAGACAGUGUCAGGUGGGCAGUUUGACUGGGGCGGUCGCCUCCUAAAGUGUAACGGAGGCGCCCAAAGGUUCCCUCAGAAUGGUUGGAAAUCAUUCGUAGAGUGCAAAGGCAUAAGGGAGCUUGACUGCGAGACCUACAAGUCGAGCAGGGACGAAAGUCGGGCUUAGUGAUCCGGUGGUUCCGCAUGGAAGGGCCAUCGCUCAACGGAUAAAAGCUACCCCGGGGAUAACAGGCUUAUCUCCCCCAAGAGUCCACAUCGACGGGGAGGUUUGGCACCUCGAUGUCGGCUCAUCGCAUCCUGGGGCUGUAGUCGGUCCCAAGGGUUGGGCUGUUCGCCCAUUAAAGCGGUACGCGAGCUGGGUUCAGAACGUCGUGAGACAGUUCGGUCCCUAUCCGUCGUGGGCGUAGGAAAUUUGAGAGGAGCUGUCCUUAGUACGAGAGGACCGGGAUGGACGCACCGCUGGUGUACCAGUUGUUCUGCCAAGGGCAUAGCUGGGUAGCUAUGUGCGGAAGGGAUAAGUGCUGAAAGCAUCUAAGCAUGAAGCCCCCUCAAGAUGAGAUUUCCCAUAGCGUAAGCUAGUAAGAUCCCUGAAAGAUGAUCAGGUUGAUAGGUUCGAGGUGGAAGCAUGGUGACAUGUGGAGCUGACGAAUACUAAUAGAUCGAGGACUUAACCAUAUAA
rnacentral:rRNA from 1 species